rnacentral:lncRNA from 1 species
GUGCACGGAGUAUAAAUAGGAGCUUCAGGGCUGCUGUCCUUCCUGGAGCUGGAAGUUCCUCCGAGGUGUGGAUUCCAGCCUGAUAAGGAAAGCCACUGCCCACGUCUUGCAGAGACUUCCCUUCUUCCUCUCCCUUAGCAACGUGGCUGGCCAGGGCUGAGAGAGGUCUGGGAGUCCCUGCUGCCCUCGCUCCUGCUGCCGAGGCCCAGAGGAGAUGAGAGUCCAGAGUCUGCCUGGGACGGUCUGCAGAGCCAGCUCAGCUCAGAGGACUUAGGGUGGGAGCUCCUUAGCCAGGGGGCACCCCUGUGCAGGACAGGAGGGGAAGACCCCACAGGGAGCAGCUCUGUGCUGCCAGGCAAGGGCUCUGCCCACCCCCUAGGACUCUGGUUCAGGCUAGCCCACUCCUCUCUACCUCCAGCCCUGGGCUCCCUUUGCCCAAGGCCUCAGCUGUUCCCUCUUCUCUUCCAGAGAGCCGUGGUGGCUCCCCUCCCCCAGCACACCCUGGCUCCAAGGUGUCCUCCUGAGGCCUCCCUGGCCACCCACUGAGACUGCGCACCGCCUGCUAGGCCUCCCCUCCCUGGCCUCACUGCUCUCCUAGAGCGGGUCCUUUUCUACACACAAAACAAAAUAUUUGCUUUGUUUGUCCCUUUUUUCCCCCCAAGAAGCUUACUCUCCAGGGGACAGGGGUUUGCCAGUCUUGCUUCUUGCUGUAUCUGUCCCCAGCUCCUACUGCCAUGCUAGGCACUUAACAGGUGACUGAUAAGUAGUUCCUAAAUAAAGGGGUAAUGGGUCAGUCACUGCUCGGGCAUCUGAACCUAUGCCCUCUGAGCCAUCCCCUAGGGAGCCACCUCGGUCACCUGGGCUGCCUCAGGAUGCCUGCACCAUAUCCCUCUGUUCCAGUGACUCAUGCACAGUCACUUCCAAAUGACCGGUCACUAUUUCAACCGUAUUAAUGCUAAUGAGAUCAAUUUAGUUGGCCUUCCUUGUAUUUUUUUCUGCUGUGUGAAGACCCUCCCUCUUCCCAGUUGUCAGGGCAACCUGGACCUGAUUCAGGCUGAAGUGAGGCAGUGAUAGGGCUCAGAUCUGUGUUUAAAAUCACUGCAGAUUCCAUUUAACAGCAUAAUGUUUUAAGUGUGACUUUGAACCAGAAGAUGUGGACCUAGGAAGGGCUGUGAGCUGGAGUUGCCUGGCCAGGGGACUCUGGGUAGAUGCCAAGCAGGUUCCUCCUGGUACCACUGCAAAAGGAGAAACAGUAGAGUGGGAGGUCAUCCUCGGGGAAACGAAGCCACACCUGUGUCUUCCCUGUGCCUCUUUCAUUUUGUGAUGGUGACAUUGCAGGCCCACCAGGAGAAGGGGCCAAUAGGGAACUGGACAUCCUUUCCUUUAUUUAUCUCCCUGUGGCCACAUCAGAGAAGUGCAGUGGGCUGAGGUCAAAAGCGGGCAGAGCCGGGUACCUGCAGUCUGAGAGCCCAGAGCACUUCCUGGAACUGGCCCACCCCAGGUGAGUGCAAGGCGAAUCCAAGAGCAAUGCCCGCCUCAAGUGGGAUCCUAAGGGGCCGCGCUGGGCACUGGGGUGGGGGUAGGGGCCCAGAGACUCCUUAUAUUUCUAGACAAGGUCGUCGUUAUCCAAAGCUGUUUGAGCAGCCGGUCGGUUGCUUCAGUGACUAACUUGGUGUAGAGGAAAGAGAGUGGGAAGGUCACGGCUCUGGUGUGGGGCACACACCCAGGACCUUCAGGUCCCACCGCCAAGUCACUGUGGCUUUCUGGGGGGGGUGGUCUCUCCCCAUUUUAACCAAGAUCCUGAGGGAUAAGUGAAAUGGUUUGAAUGGGCUCCCCAAAGGCUGGUGUAUUAAUCCUCAAAAUUAUAUUUAAUGGUAUUUGGAGAUGAGCCUUUGGGUAGCAAUUAGGGUGAAAGGAAGUCAUGGAGUAGGGCCCUAGGAUGGCACGGGUGGCUUUAUCAGAAGAGGAGCAGAGACCUGAGCUAGCACACUUGCCCCAUCUUGCCUUCCAGAGCCUUCCACCACAUCAUGAUGACCCAAGAAGGCCCGUCCACAUGCCAGCACCACGCUGUUGGACUUCUUAGAUUCCAGAACUUGAGCCAAAUAAACUUCUAUUCUUUAUAAAUUACCCUGUCUUGGGUAUUUCAUUACAGCAACAGAAUGGACUAAGACAAUGGGUCCAAGAUAGAAUGACAGCCAACGUCCAUAUGAGAAGGACUGGAGAGAGACAACCGCUUUCCUCAUGUAAGAAGAAAAAAAGGAGACCCAAGAGAAGAGACCCAGUGUCCUCCCCUGUGGGCAGAGGGAGGAUGGGGUCUGCUGCCUGGACCCCACUGCCACAAGCAGGCUGCUAGCCUCCCCUCCACCUGCAGCCCUGGGCAGCUUUGCCCUUCUGCCAAGGGGAUGCCGGGGCUGGGAG